GACUCUAAGCGGUGGAUCACACGGCUUAUGCGUCAAUGAAGAACGCAGCUAGCUGUGAGAACUAAUGUGAAUUGCAGGACACAUUGAUCAUCGACACUUAGAAUGCACUUUGCGGCCCUGGGUUAUUCCCAGGAUUAAGCCUGUCUGAGGGUCA